UUUAAUUGGAGAGUUUGAUCCUGGCUCAGAAUGAACGCUGGCGGCGUGCUUAACACAUGCAAGUCGUACGAGAACUCUUCUGCUUGCAGAAGAAAGUAAAGUGGCGUACGGGUGAGUAACGCGUGGGUAAUCUACCCUCAAAUCGGGGAUAACAACGCGAAAGCGAUGCUAAUACCGGAUAAUAUCACAUGAACAAUGGUUUUUGUGAUUAAAGGUGGCCUCUAUAUAUAAGCUACCGUUUGAAGAUGAGCCCGCGUACCAUUAGCUAGUUGGUAGGGUAAUGGCCUACCAAGGCUUCGAUGGUUAGCUGGUCUGAGAGGAUGAUCAGCCACACUGGAACUGACACACGGUCCAGACUCCUACGGGAGGCAGCAGUGAGGAAUUUUGCGCAAUGGGGGAAACCCUGACGCAGCAACGCCGCGUGAGUGAUGAAGGCUU
rnacentral:rRNA from 1 species